rnacentral:rRNA from 1 species
AUGGGCGAACGGAAAGAAGCAACGGUGCCGAGCGUGGCCUGUGUGGGAGGAGGCAGCGGCGGCCGUGGAUCGAGAUCGAGCUCAUGCAAACGCGCAUCUGCUGUUUGCAAAAUCAGCAAGCGCAGCCAGCAGGGGAUCUUUAAGAAGAUGAAGCGAAUUGCUGCUUAUUUUGGAACUCCAUCUAAUGAAUUUCAAGCUCCUGUUCAUGUUCCUGAACCUGAUGCGAACAUUUUAUCCACUAAAGCCUCAGAUGCAAACAUUGUAGAAGAUCUAGUUCCUGAACCUGAAGUGUAUAAUGAGGGCUCUCAUGAUAACACUUUGCAAACUUCUAUUCUAGGAUUUAGUUGCUUCGUUUUGUAUUAA